rnacentral:rRNA from 1 species
UACGUAGGGUGCAAGCGUUGUCCGGAAUUAUUGGGCGUAAAGAGCUCGUAGGCGGCUUGUCGCGUCGGCUGUGAAAACCCGGGGCUCAACCCCGGGCCUGCAGCCGAUACGGGCAGACUAGAGUUCGGCAGGGGAGACUGGAAUUCCUGGUGUAGCGGUGAAAUGCGCAGAUAUCAGGAGGAACACCGGUGGCGAAGGCGGGUCUCUGGGCCGAUACUGACGCUGAGGAGCGAAAGCGUGGGGAGCGAACAGG